rnacentral:rRNA from 1 species
AGGACUAACGCUGGCGGCGUGCCUAACACAUGCAAGUCGAACGAGGGGUAGCAAUACCCCUAGUGGCAGACGGGUGAGUAACACGUAGUCAACCUACCUCUUAAUGGGGGAUAACUAGCCGAAAGGUUAGCUAAUACCGCAUACGAUCGUCGAGUGGCAUCACACGACGAUGAAAGGAGCAAUCCGUUGAGAGAGGGGACUGCGUCCCAUUAGUUAGUUGGUGGGGUAAUGGCCUACCAAGACUCCGAUGGGUAGCUGGCUUGAGAGAGCGACCAGCCACACUGGAACUGAGACACGGUCCAGACUCCUACGGAGGCAGCAGUGAGGAAUUUUCCGCAAUGGGGGAAACCCUGACGGAGCGACGCCGCGUGUGGGAAGAAGGCCUUCGGGUCGUAAACCACUGUCGAGGGGGACGAGUAUUGACGGUACCCCUGGAGGAAGCCCCGGCUAACUACGUGCCAGCAGCCGC